UACAGGGGGGGCAAGCGUUGUUCGGAAUUACUGGGCGUAAAGGGUUCGUAGGUGGCUCACUAAGUCACACGUGAAAUCCCUCAGCUUAACUGGGGAACUGCGUGUGAAACUGGAGAGCUUGAGGGUAGGAGAGGAAUGCAGAAUUCCAGGUGUAGCGGUGAAAUGCGUAGAUAUCUGGAGGAAUACCGGUGGCGAAGGCGGCAUUCUGGACUAUUUCUGGCACUGAUGAACGAAAGCCAGGGGAGCAAACGGG
rnacentral:rRNA from 1 species